rnacentral:lncRNA from 1 species
UCUGCCUCCCCAGUGCUGGGAUUAAAGGCUUAUGCCAUCACUGCCCGGCUAAAUGUAUACAAUCAGUGUAGGGAGUAGAGUUCUGGGCAACUCUAAAAUUGCCUACUGGGAAAUAAACAAACAAACCUGGACGACCUAAUAAGGUCCUGGUCACCAUUCCUGCUUCCUGAGGCAGUUCUCACCCUCAACAUGUCUACGAGGAAGGGCAAAUCUUGUGCCCUACUGGGAAUCCUUUAUCUGAAACUCUGGCCAAAUUCCACCCAAAGUUUGAGGGAAAAAAAAAAAAAAAAGAAAAAGUAUUAAAAGAGAAAGAAAAGAAAGAAAGAAAUUUAAUUUAAAAUUUCAUUUUGGGAGUUAAGGACCUCUACCCCUGUCAGUUUGUGAGGGUUUGGGGUAUAUUAUAAACAGAAUUCUAAGCCUUCAUUCAGUUCCUCAGGAUGACGGCUGGGUUUGCAGUGCAGUUGGUAAAGCCCUAGUUUGUCAUACAGGAGGUCUUAGACGCUUCCCCAGCACUGGGUAGCCUAGUGGCACACAUCUGUGAUCCCAGAACCCUGGGAAGGUGGAUGCAAGAUCAAAAGUUCAAAUUCAUCUACUGCUUAGUGGGUUUGAAGGAGACCCUAUUUUUCAAUAAUAGUGAAGUCACCAGAACUUUUAUGAUGGUUUCCACUACAAUGAGAUUUUUACUUUCCUUCUUAGGCCUUUACACAUUUUAUGAACUUUAUUCAGUUAGCUUGUAUAAUCAUAUAAAUAGGGGAAAAAGGUUUUUUUUUUUAAAUCUCUACAAUAUCAAAUAAGUGAUUUUAGACUAUUGCCUUGUUUAUAUUUAUUGUCUCUCUCCAUGAUAGUAAAAUCUAAGAGAUGAAGAAUU